AGGACCGGGAUGGACACACCGCUGGUGUAUCAGUUGUUCCGCCAGGAGCAUCGCUGAGUAGCUACGUGUGGACGGGAUAAGCGCUGAAGGCAUCUAAGCGCGAAGCCUUCCUCAAGAUAAGAUCUCCCACUCAUAAUGAGUUAAGACCCCAGGUAGACCACCUGGUUGAUAGGCCUCGGGUGUAAGUGCAGUAAUGUACUGAGCUGAGAGGUACUAAUCGGUCGAGGACUUAAUCUU
rnacentral:ncRNA from 1 species